UUGGAGGGCAAGUCUGGUGCCAGCAGCCGCGGUAAUUCCAGCUCCAAUAGCGUAUAUUAAAGUUGUUGUGGUUAAAAAGCUCGUAGUUGAAUUUCGGGAUUGGCGUGUCGGUCGUGCCUUACGGGGUAUGAACUGGCGUCGUCGAUUUCUCACCUUCUGGAGAAUCACGAUGCCCUUAAUUGGGUGUCGUGUGGAACCAGGACCUUUACCUUGAAAAAAUUAGAGUGUUUAAAGCAGGCAUUUUGCUCGAAUACAUUAGCAUGGAAUAAUAAAGUAGGACGGCUUGGUUCUAUUUUGUUGGUUUCUAGGAUCACCGUAAUGAUUAAUAGGGAUAGUUGGGGGCAUUAGUAUUCAAUUGUCAGAGGUGAAAUUCUUGGAUUUAUUGAAGACUAACUACUGCGAAAGCAUUUGCCAAGGAUGUUUUCAUUAAUCAAGAACGAAAGUUAGGGGAUCGAAGACGAUCAGAUACCGUCGUAGUCUUAACCAUAAACUAUGCCGACUAGGGAUCGGAUGAUGUUAAUUUUUUAAUGACUCAUUCGGCGCCUUACGGGAAAC
rnacentral:rRNA from 1 species